rnacentral:rRNA from 1 species
UACCAGCACCCCGAGUGGUCGGGACGAUUAUUGGGCCUAAAGCAUCCGUAGCCGGCCUUACAAGUCCUCCGCUAAAUCCAGCUGCUUAACAGAUGGGCUGCGGAGGAUACUAUAAGACUAGGAGGCAGGAGAGGCAAGCGGUACUCAGUGGGUAGGGGUAAAAUCCGUUGAUCCAUUGAAGACCACCAGUGGCGAAGGCGGCUUGCCAGAAUGCGCUCGACGGUGAGGGAUGAAAGCUGGGGGAGCAAACCGG